rnacentral:rRNA from 1 species
UACGUAGGGGGCGAGCGUUGUCCGGAGUUACUGGGCGUAAAGCGCUUGUAGGCGGUCCACCAAGUUUGGGGUGACAGUUGCCGACUUAAUCGGCAAAGUGCCUCAAAGACUGGCGGACUUGAGGGCCACAGAGGGACAUGGAACUCCAGGUGUAGUGGUGAAAUGCGUAGAUAUCUGGAAGAACACCAAAGGCGAAGGCAGUGUCCUGGGUGGUCGCUGACGCUGAGGCACGAAAGCGUGGGGAUCAAACAGG